rnacentral:rRNA from 1 species
UACGUAGGGUGCGAGCGUUACUCGGAAUUACUGGGCGUAAAGCGUGCGCAGGCGGCUUCGCAAGUCAGACGUGAAAUCCCCGGGCUUAACCUGGGAAUGGCGUUUGAAACUACGGAGCUGGAGUGUGGCAGAGGGAGGUAGAAUUCCACGUGUAGCGGUGAAAUGCGUAGAUAUGUGGAGGAAUACCGAUGGCGAAGGCAGCCUCCUGGGCCAACACUGACGCUCAUGCACGAAAGCGUGGGGAGCAAACAGG